UACAGAGGGUGCAAGCGUUAAUCGGAAUUACUGGGCGUUAAGCGCGCGUAGACGGUUAUAUAAGUCGGGUGUGAAAGCCCCGGGCUCAACCUGGGAAUUGCAUUCGAGACUGUGUAGCUAGGGUGCGGAAGAGGGAAGCGGAAUUUCCGGUGUAGCGGUGAAAUGCGUAGAGAUGGGGAGGAACACCAGUGGCGAAAGCGGCUUCCUGGUCCAGCACCGACGUUCAGGCGCGAAAGCGUGGGGAGCAAACAGG
rnacentral:rRNA from 1 species